rnacentral:pre_miRNA from 1 species
AGACAGAGAGAGAGAUAGGCAGGGAUAAGGCAGAGCAUGGGAUGGAGCAAUCAACAGAGGGGUGGAGCUGUUGUUGCUCUUCCCAUGCACUGCCUCUUCCCUGGCUCUCUCUUUCUCCCCUUC